rnacentral:rRNA from 1 species
CCUACGGGUGGCAGCAGUGGGGAAUAUUGGACAAUGGGGGGAACCCUGAUCCAGCCAUGCCGCGUGUGUGAAGAAGGCCCUCGGGUUGUAAAGCACUUUCAGUGAGGAAGAACGCCUGGUGGUUAAUACCCAUCAGGAAAGACAUCACUCACAGAAGAAGCACCGGCUAACUCCGUGCCAGCAGCCGCGGUAAUACGGAGGGUGCGAGCGUUAAUCGGAAUUACUGGGCGUAAAGCGCGCGUAGGUGGCUUGAUAAGCCGGUUGUGAAAGCCCCGGGCUCAACCUGGGAACGGCAUCCGGAACUGUCAAGCUAGAGUGCAGGAGAGGAAGGUAGAAUUCCCGGUGUAGCGGUGAAAUGCGUAGAGAUCGGGAGGAAUACCAGUGGCGAAGGCGGCCUUCUGGACUGACACUGACGCUGAGGUGCGAAAGCGUGGGUAGCAAACAGGAUUAGAUACCCGUGUAGUC